rnacentral:rRNA from 1 species
GNGCAAGCGUUAUCCGGAAUUAUUGGGCGUAAAGAGCUCGUAGGCGGUUUGUCGCGUCUGCUGUGAAAACUGGAGGCUCAACCUCCAGCCUGCAGUGGGUACGGGCAGACUAGAGUGCGGUAGNGGAGAUUGGAAUUCCUGGUGUAGCGGUGGAAUGCGCAGAUAUCAGGAGGAACACCGAUGGCGAAGGCAGAUCUCUGGGCCGUAACUGACGCUGAGGAGCGAAAGGGUGGGGAGCAAACAGGCUUAGAUACCCUGGUAGUCCACCCCGUAAACGUUGGGAACUAGUUGUGGGGGCCAUUCCACGGUCUCCGUGACGCAGCUAACGCAUUAAGUUCCCCGCCUGGGGAGUACGGCCGCAAGGCUAAAACUCAAAGGAAUUGACGGGGACCCGCACAAGCGGCGGAGCAUGCGGAUUAAUUCGAUGCAACGCGAAGAACCUUACCAAGGCUUGACAUAUACGAGAACGGGCCAGAAAUGGUCAACUCUUUGGACACUCGUAAACAGGUGGUGCAUGGUUGUCGUCAGCUCGUGUCGUGAGAUGUUGGGUUAAGUCCCGCAACGAGCGCAACCCUCGUUCUAUGUUGCCAGCACGUAAUGGUGGGAACUCAUGGGAUACUGCCGGGGUCAACUCGGAGGAAGGUGGGGAUGACGUCAAAUCAUCAUGCCCCUUAUGUCUUGGGCUUCACGCAUGCUACAAUGGCCGGUACAAAGGGCUGCAAUACCGUGAGGUGGAGCGAAUCCCAAAAAGCCGGUCCCAGUUCGGAUUGAGGUCUGCAACUCGACCUCAUGAAGUCGGAGUCGCUAGUAAUCGCAGAUCAGCAACGCUGCGGUGAAUACGUUCCCGGGUCUUGUACACACCGCCCGUCAAGUCAUGAAAGUCGGUAACACCUGAAGCCGGUGGCCCAACCCUUGUGGAGGGAGCCGUCGAAGGUGGGAUCGGUAAUUAGGACUAAGUCGUAACAAGGUAACCAAUCGAAUUCCCGCGGGCCGCCNUNGCGGCCGGAGC